GGGCCGUUAGCUCAAUUGGUAGAGCAGUGGACUCUUAAUCCAUUGGUUGUAAGUUCAAGUCUUACACGGCCCACCA
rnacentral:tRNA from 2 species